CCGGAGAGGCAGCCUGAGAGACGGCUACCACGUCCAAGGACGGCAGCAGGCACGCAAAUUACCCAAUCCCAGCAACUGGGGGAGGUAGUGACGAAAUCUAACGAUGCGGGCGCCCUUUUUGGGGCCCCGCAAUCGGAAUGAGCACUUUCUAAACAACCUGUUGAGAACCUACUGAAGGGCAAGUCUGGUGCCAGCAGCCGCGGUAAUUCCAGCUUCAGCAGCAUCUAUUAAAGUUGCUGCGGUUAAAAGGCUCGCAGUUGAAUGUCAGUAUCGAGCGCAGGUCAGGUGGACGCUGGGGCGUGGGAACACAAGGCGCGGCACGGGCCGCGAGCCUUGCCUCGUGCAGGCGCGCGGUACCGGCCGUGUCUCUCACAUACCCCCGUCCGUUACAAGCCUCCUCGCUCGCGUACAUAUCGGAAUUGGUCAAACGGAGUGUGCGCAGUCCCUCUCCCCCCUCUCGUCCUCGGGCCGCGCGCGUGUUCGCGCGCGCGCGUGUCUGUUGGCGGGAGGGCGUGUGUGCGGGGGCUCGCACGUUAAGCUCCUUCGGUUUCAUGGUCACCUUGAGUAAAUCAGAGUGCUCAAAGCAGUCGUAGGGGCCUUGCGCCCUGUGAACAGUCUUGACGGACUGACUUGGUUUUGCAUGGCAUGUCGGAAGACGACGUCGUGUGCUGGCUCAGAGAUUAUAUAUCAGUGGUGCAAGCCAGCCUCGACGUACUGAUUAACAGGGACGGUCGAGGGCAUUGGUAUUGCGAGGCGAGAGGUGAAAUUCUAUGACCCCCGCAAGACCUCCUGAAGCGAAAGCGUCUGCCAAGGACGUUUUCAUUAAUCAUGAACGAAAGUUAGAGGAUNNNNNNNNNNNNNNNNNNNNNNNNNNNNNNNNNNNNNNNNNUGCCAACCAUCAAUCCGCGCGUAGCUCCCAUCUUAACGGGCUCGGCGGGCAGCUCCCCACUCACGGGAAACCAGAGUCUUUGGGUUCCGGGGGGAGUCUGGUUGCAAAGCUGAAACUUAAAGGAAUUGACGGAAAGGCACCACCAGGCGUGGAGCCUGCGGCUUAAUUUGACUCAACACGGGCCAUCUCACCAGGCCAGCACUCUUGUACGAUUGACAGAUUGAGAGCUCUUUCUCGAUUCAGUGGAUGGUGGUGCAUGGCCGUUCUUAGUUGGUGGAGUGAUCUGUCUGGUUAAUUCCGAUAACGAACGAGACUCUCCCCUGCUAACUAGUCGGCUGGAUCUUUAUCGGUGAGUUGUGUGCCGAGAACACCUGGGUGCGCGGGCGCGUGGGGUUGCUGCGGUUUUACCAAGGCGCUCCCGUGGUUCGUGCCUCGGGCCUCGGGCCACACACUCCAAGUCCGCCGCUUAUUGUAUAACUCUUCUUAGAGGGAUUCACGGUUCUGAAGCCGUCAGAGACUGAGAGCAAUAACAGGUCUGUGAUGCCCUUAGAUGCUCUGGGCCGCACGCGCGCUACAAUGCCGGGCACAGCAGGUGUUUCUCCUGCUCCGACAGGAGCAGGUAACCCUCUGAAAGCCACUGUUUUUGUCGUGUCUGACACGAAAGGCGUGCUUGGGCCUGGGGCUUGCAAUUCUUUCCCACCAACGAGGAAUGCCUAGUAGCGGCGGGUCACUGAGCCCGCUGUGACUCAGUCCCUGCCCUUUGUACACACCGCCCGUCGCUACUACCGAUUGGGUGUACCAGUGAGAGCCUUGGACUGGCGUCCGUUGCCUUCGGGCAAGCGGGUCCGACGGAAAGAGGUCCGAACUGGUGCACUUAGAGGAAGUAAAAGUCGUAACAAG
rnacentral:rRNA from 1 species